rnacentral:sRNA from 1 species
GGGUGUGCAUUUGUGCACGUGUGUGUGAGUGGCCCAAAUGGGCACGCACUGUGUCCAGCACACAUUGGUUCCCCCAUCCCCCUGCACCCCACCCCAUCUCCACCCCCCAGGACUUCAUACCCAUUACCCAUGUGCCUGUUCGCUCCUUACACACUUAGCCUGAGACACCCUCCCAGGGCACCCCUCAUGUUUUGUCACCUCCUGUCCCUUUUUUCUCCCUUCAGCCAUGGGGUCUCCACUAAAUAUCUCAACUUCACGGCCUCAGAGAAUACCAGUCGGGUCAUGCAGCAUCAAUAUCAGGUCAGCAACCUGGGGCAGAGGAGCCUCCCCAUCAGCCUGGUGUUCUUGGUGCCCGUCCGGCUGAACCAGACUGUCAUAUGGGACCGCCCCCAGGUCACCUUCUCCGAGGUGAGCGGAGCUCAGCCUGACUCCUGCACGGCCCUGCGCCUUCCUCUCACCUCUGUUAAUGCUAUUGGGUUUUAGAGCCGCUCCGCCCCUCUCCUGGACCCAGGCCAUCUCACCUCCCGAGAUGAGGCCCUGGCGCCUUCAUCUCUG